AAGGAGAGGGGGUGGAGAUUUUCAAGGAUUUUGAAGGCUUGAAAAGUUGUGCCGAAAUAGGUAUAUCCGAAGUGCCGGAGUGGUUUUCUUGGCUUGCACUUUUGUAUGCCGUUUGGUCUUCUCCGCUUGAAACUUCCUACUCAUCUCUUCUUUAAUCAUUUUCUACUAUAGCCGACCCUCUCUUUUACUUUCAUCUCUACUUCUUUUCCAAUUCUGUUAUUCCUUUCUCUGUAAGGUCGAAUUCCCAUACUCUCUCCCUCUCAAAUCUCUUUGUUCUUCUUGUUUCUGGCCAAAUCUUCCUGACUGACUAUUACUGAAAUACGUUUGUUUUUAUGGUAAGGGGGUGUUACAACCAUUUUAUUAUUUGUUCUUAGUUAAAUUUCUUUUAGCUCUACUAACAAGCAUCGGUUUUCCCUUUUCUUUCCCUUAGGGGCCGAAUGUAUGGUUGUUUUCUAAUAACUUUUGAUCUGCCAAAUCAUGUUAGCACAGGGGAUUCGCCCUUGAUCAGUAGUGAGGCGCUAGUAUCUGUUAGAUCUAGCAAUGUGAGUGCUUGAGAAACUUGUGCUCAAGUCUGGGCUUUGGCAAAAUUUUAAUUUUUGGGCUCUUAAGGGAACUUGGAUGAUAGCUUACAGGAUUUAUAAUUAUUUGUGGUUGUUUUAUGACACAAAGAGAGGGGGUGGUCUAGUCGCAAGGUGGCAUGCUGUUUCUGGUAGGGGACUGAAGUUCGAGUCUCACUGUAUGCAAAUGGGAUUAUGUUUAUUAAUUCAUGAGGAGGCAAGAGUUGGUGUUGGAUUUGAACUCUGUUGUUGGAGAGUUUGAAUUGGUCUUGUGAGUUGGUUGUGGAGGAUAUCAAGGAAGGAUAAAGGGAGAAAAUCAAGGAGAGGGGGUGGAGAUUUUCAAGGAUUUUGAAGGCUUGAAAAGUUGUGCCAAAAUAGGUAUAUCCGAAGUGCCGGAGUGGUUUCCUUGGCUUGCACUUUUGUAUGUUGCCGUUUGGUCUUCUCUACUUGAAACUUCCUACUCAUCUCUUCUUUAAUCAUUUUCUGCUAUAGCCGACCCUCUCUUUUACUUUCAUCUCUACUUCUUUUCCAAUUCUGUUAUUCCUUUCUCUGUAAGGUCGAAUUCCCAUACUCUCUCCCUCUCAAAUCUCUUUGUUCUUCUUGUUUCUGGCCAAAUCUUCCUGACUGAUUACUACUGAAAUACGUUUCUUUUUAUGGUAACGGGGUGUUACAACCAUUUUAUUAUUUCGUUCUUAGUUAAAUUUCUUUUAGCUCUACUAACAAGCAUCGGUUUUCCCUUUUCUUUCCCUUGGGGGCCGAAUGUAUGGUUGUUUUCUAAUAACUUUUGAUCUGCCGAAUCAUGUUAGCACGGGGGAUUCGCCCUUAAUCAGCAGUGAGGCACUAGUAUCUGUUAGAUCUAGCAAUGUGAGUGCUUGAGAAACUUGCGCUCUAGUCUGGGCUUUGGCAAAAUUUUAAUUUUUGGGCUCUUAAGGGAACUUGGAUGAUAGCUUACAGGAUUUAUAAUUAUUUGUGGUUGUUUUAUGACACAAAGAGAGGGGAUGGUUUAGUGGCAAGGUGGCAUGCUGUUUCUGGUAGGGGACUGGAGUUCGAGUCACACUGUAUGCAAAUGGGAUUAUGUUUUUUUUUCAUGAGGAGGCAAGAGUUGGUGUUGGAUUUGAACUCUGUUGUUGGAGAGUUUGAAUUGGUCUUGUGAGUUGGUUGUAGAGGAUAUCAAGAAAGGAUAAGGGGAGAAAAUCAAGGAUAGAGGGUGGAGAUUUUCAAGGAUUUUAAAGGUUUGAAAAAUUGUGCCGAAAUAGGUAUAUCCGAAGUGCCGGAGUGGUUUUCUUGGCUUGCACUUUUGUAUGUUGCCGUUUGGUCUUCUCUGCUUGAAAUUUCGUACUCAUCUCUUCUUUAAUCAUUUUCUGCUAUAGCCGACCCUCUCUUUACUUUCAUCUCUACUUCUUUUCCAAUUCCAUUAUUCCUUUAUCUGUUAGGUCGAAUUCUCAUAAUCUCUCCCUCUCAAAUCUCUUUGUUCUUUUUGUUUCAGGCCGAAUCUUCCUAACUCACUAUUACUGAAAUACGUUUGUUUUUAUGGUAAGGGGGUGUUACAACCAAUUUAUUAUUUCAUUCUUAGUUAACUUUCUUUUUGCUCUAGUAACAAGCUUCUGUUUUCCCUUUUCUUUCUCCUGGGGGCCGAAUGUAUGGUUGUUUUCUAACAACUUUUGAUAUGCCGAAUCAUGUUAGCACAGGGGAUUUGCCCUUGAUCAGCAGUGAGGUGCUAGUAUCUGUUAGAUCUAGCUAGGUGAGUGCUUGAGAAGCUUGGGCUCAAGUCUGGGCUUUGGCAAAAUGUUAAUUUUGGGGCUCUUAAGGGAACUUGGAUGUUAGCUUACAGGAUUUAUAAUUAUUUGUGGUUGUUUUAUGAUACAAAGAGAGGGGAUGGUCUAGUGGCAAGGUGGCAUGCUGUUUCUGGUAGGGGACUCGAGUUCGAGUCUCACUGUAUGCAAAUGGGAUUUUCUUUUCAUAAGGAGGCAAGAGUUGGUGUUGGAUUUGAACUCUGUUGUUGGAGAGUUUGAAUUGGUCUUGUGAGUAGGUUGUGGAGGAUAUCAAGGAAGGAUAAGGGUAGAAAAUCAAGGAUAGAGGGUGGAGAUUUUCAGGGAGUUUGAAGGUUUGAAAACUUGUGCCGAAAUAGGUAUAUCCGAAGUGCCGGAGUGGUUUUCUUGGCUUGCACUUUUGUAUGUUGCCGUUUGGUCUUCUCUGCUUGAAAUUUCGUACUCAUCUCUUCUUUAAUCAUUUUCUGCUAUAGCCGACCUCUCUUUACUUUCAUCUCUACUUCUUUUCCAAUUCUGUUAUUCCUUUCUCUGUAAGGUCUAAUUCCCACACUCUCUC
rnacentral:lncRNA from 1 species